rfam:Triticum aestivum genome assembly, contig: Triticum_aestivum_CS42_TGACv1_scaffold_223939_3B
AUCCUACUCCCUCCAUUCCGAAUUACUAGUCCAAGAAAUGAAUGUAUCUAGAUUUAUUUUAGUUGUAGAUACAUCCAUUUUUGUGACAAGUAAUUCCGAACGGAGGGAGUACAUA